CUCUCUCUCCCCCAAUUCCAAUCUCAUUUUCUCUUUCUUCUUCUGCUCUCCGUCUCCAUUUCACCUAAGGAACUAGCUCCAUGGAAGUGGAGAAAUCAGUAACCCAAGAUGCUAUUUCAACCAAACUAGUAAACCUUCUAUAGAUUCGUCUUCUGAAAUCCCUCAAAUCGCUAGUCGAGUUGUAGAUCUCAAAUCUGAUGGAAACAGAUUCAGCUUCAUUAUUUCUCUAUUCUUCUCAAAAUCGAAAUUGAAAAAAAUAAUCUGGUAUCAAAUUAGAUGUGAGAUGUGAUUUGAAUCUAAGGGGUUUCAUGAUUAGUGUGAUAUGUGAUUUGAAGCAAGGGUUUUUUUUCGUGUUUUUUGUCUUCAGUAAAUGGAUAAUGAGCUCCCAGAUCCAUAGGUCAGCAUCAAGAACUCUUAGACCACUUACCUCUUAUCUAAAAGCUCAUCUCUUUUCAGCGAGGUAGAGAAGGCAAUAGAAGAGUCAAGUUGGUGGUGGAUCUGAUGUUAUUGUCGAUGUUGUUCCUAAGGAGGGAUUAUGUGGUAGAGCAAGAUUAUAAAUAAGAACAAGAGUAUCUCUGAUGAAAUCAGGGUGGAGGUACCAAGGAUCAACUAUGGCAUGUACUUCUCAAGCAGUUGAUGUACUGAGAAAAGCUAAUUGCUCCAACAAAGGCUGAUGGAACUAGAGAGGUAUGUCAUUGAUGAGAGGUGGGGAUUGAGUAACAUAAAUAUUGGAUCAGCACCGCUCUGACUCAGGAUUUAAACUUGGGUCUACUGAACAUACAUCAGAAGCAAUAGUGAAGAAGUAUGGUGCCGUAAGGUUAACUUUUGAAGUUGAAGGCCUAAAUGUGCUGAGAACAACCCAGCAAAAAAAAAAGACAUUUGAUGGUCCAUCAUGCAAGGACUGGAGAGGUGGAAGGGAUGCUUCAUUCAGUAUCAUUCCUAGCAGCACUGUUGAGGGAAAAGUUGGUGUGCAUCAUUUGGAUGAGGUUCUGCGAGAGGAAACUUCAUCGUCAAAUGCCACAGAGGGGCAGGAGAUACACUCGGUCAAUUCGUUAAAUUUUUAUACGGCAACAUCCAAUUUUGUGAAUUGCCAUUCAUUGCUUGUGUCAAGAUAGUUGGAUUGCAGUUGAUGCCGACAUUGGAUAAACAUCUAAACAUCCUCAGUCAUCAGUAUGUUGGGAUGCUUGUGAAAGGUAAGAAGUAUAUCUUCAUCUCUUUCAGCCUACUGUUGAAAACAAGUUAACAUGAUACAAUCUCAAAGAGUUACUUUAUCAUUACCUUUAAACUGAGCAUUUUAAAUAUAAAACUAUGAUAUUAGAUGUCUACUUGGAUACAUUUCUUAAGCUUUGUUUCUCUCCCGCCCUGUAAACAAACUAAUGCAGUCU